GUACUUCUCCAAGGAGGAUAUUUGAGCCUUUGGAUAAACACAAUAUUUCUUUCAGGAGCAUCAGUUUUCCUUGAGGUGAGUAAUUUUAAACAUCUUCAUAUUAAGAGAAGUUCAGAUAUAUCAUGGAAUAGCAUGCAAAAUUCUCAUGAAUUUUUAAGAGAAAACAGAAGACUUCAAAGAGAGCUUGGGUGUGCUGGCAGGAGCUUCAGGCUGUGAGGUCCCCUGGGGGAACCAAAGGCAUUUCUUUUGUCUGCUGUUGGUGUACUUUAGCGGAAAAGUUUGAGAAGUGCUGAUUUCAGAUAAAAUGUUUUGAUCCCAGGAAUAAAAUAAUAAGGUAUAUUUCAAUAAGAGUGGCAGGGGCUUGGAAGUCAGGUUGGACAAGGUAGGGACAGAGCAGGAGACCAGGUAAAAGAUGGUUGUAGUAAACUCUCAGGAAAGGUGAAGGGCCUGGGGGGCUACCUGGGCCUCAGGCCCCUCCUCUUUUCCCCCAAGCCUCUUCAGAGGGCAUCUGCCUGAGAGAUGCCCCACCUGAAAGCCACGCCUUCCUUUCGCAGAAAAUCUGCCUGCCCGGCCAUGUCACCCACAACAUUGCCCACCUGCCACCUUCCAGCCCAGCAGGUUUAUUAGCUCAGCUGCCGGAAGGUACCAGAACGCAAGUGGUUGGACCAGUGAUUCUCUGGGAUGAGAAGAGGUGAAGAGAGAAGCAGUGCAGGUGUGAAGGUGUACAUCUGCAGGAAUGCCCCUGUACAUGCCGCUACAAGGAGUAAACAGAAAAGAGUCCAGGAGAGGAAAAGAAAAGCUGAGUGAAGUUGAACAAGAAAAUACUCAGCCAGGAGAGCAGGAGUAUUCUGAGGAAACAACUUCUAAACUGACUGCAGAAGAGGUGAGUAGCUGGGGUCAGGAAGCAGCCCGUGCAGAGGCCUGGAGGUAAGUGCCAGCAUGCGUGUCUGAGCAACUGUGGUCCCAAAGCUUAGGUUACAAGAGGUUGAGAAAUAAGGCUCAGAGAUAAGCAGGAGCCAGAUUACAAAAAGUCUUGUAAGACCAUGUUAAGGUGUGUGGGCUUUAUCCUAAGAGCAAUAGGGAGCCAGAAAGGAGUUAAAGCAAAGAAGUGGCG
rnacentral:lncRNA from 1 species